GUAUCAGUAGCACCAGUAGCACCACCUGUAUCAGUAGCACCACCUGUAUCAGUAGCACCAGUAGCACCACCUGUAUCAGUAGCACCAGUAGCACCACCACUGAUAAUCCCCUCAGUUUGAAAAAAGAGAUGAAAGCGUUCAUGGAUGAAAGAAACUUGGAUUUCAUAUUUCUCUCUCUCUCUCUCUCUCUCUCUCUCUCUUCUAGUACACUCUAUUGAUAAUUUUCUUUGGAAAGGGAGAGGGAGGAAAGAAGAAUGAGAGAGAGAGAAAAAGAAAAGGCUUAUGCCCCUUUUGGUCUCCAAGGAGGAGGAUCUUCAUUAACCCCCAGGAAAGACGCAGAGGACACAGGAAGAAAGGAGGAGAGAGGAAGAGAGGAGAGAGCAGGGCAGAUCGGGGGAGAGGGCCACAGAGCAAUCACAGACCUCAUUAUGAACACUGAAAGACCUGGCCAGAUGAGAUGGAGGGGAGAGAGAGAGCGAGAGCCACCCGAGGGACACUGAACACACACAGCCUGCAGGCUACAGCUCCACACCAGACAGAGCAUGGGCUGUUCACUACAUUGGCACUUUGUGAUGGCACCUCCGCACUGUUCGUCCAACCAGGAUGAAGAGCAGUGCUGCCAGCAGGAAGAAGAAGACGGAGAAGGGAGCAAACAGGAAGGAGGUGGUAGACUGUUGGACACUGAGAGGAGUGUUGUUGCUGGGCAGCGUAGUCCUCCAGAGUGUCCAGUACCUGGGUCCAGACUACAUACAUCAUUAUUACAACCAGGAGACAUAGACCUGGAGAGAGGAGAGGGAGAGGGGGAGGAAGAGGGAAACAUUUAAACUCAAUAAAAGUUAAUAGAACAUAAAUGCGUCUCCUGAUUAGUGGCAACUUGUCAUUCAGGGCAGGUGGGGUUGCCUGUUUGCAUGUUAUUUUGGCAUUAAUA